AUUGAGCGCUGGCGGCAGGCCUAACACAUGCAAGUCGAGCGGAUGAUGGGAGCUUGCUCUCUGAUUUAGCGGCGGACGGGUGAGUAAUGCCUAGGAAUCUGCCUGGUAGUGGGGGAUAACGUUCCGAAAGGAACGCUAAUACCGCAUACGUCCUACGGGAGAAAGCGGGGGAUCUUCGGACCUCGCGCUAUCAGAUGAGCCUAGGUCGGAUUAGCUAGUUGGUGAGGUAAAGGCUCACCAAGGCGACGAUCCGUAACUGGUCUGAGAGGAUGAUCAGUCACACUGGAACGGAGACACGGUCCAGACUCCUACGGGAGGCAGCAGUGGGGAAUAUUGGACAAUGGGCGAAAGCCUGAUCCAGCCAUGCCGCGUGUGUGAAGAAGGUCUUCGGAUUGUAAAGCACUUUAAGUUGGGAGGAAGGGUUGUAGAUUAAUACUCUGCAAUUUUGACGUUACCGACAGAAUAAGCACCGGCUAACUUCGUGCCAGCAGCCGCCGUAAGAC
rnacentral:rRNA from 1 species